rnacentral:lncRNA from 1 species
CUCUCAUUUUCUCUUGCUGCCGCGAUGUACGAAGUUCCUUUUGCCUGCCGCGAUGAUUUUGAGGCCUCCCCAGCCAUGUGAAACUACAUGGAUUCUCACUAUGACACCCAGGCUGGAGUGCAGUGGCACAAUCAUAGCUGACUACAGCCUCGAAUUUCUGGGCUCAAGCAAGGCUUUCAUCUCAACCUCCCCAGGAGCUGGGAUUACAGAUGGUGUCAGAAGCGGGGUUCAAAGUAGAGCUUUAAUGACCCCCAGAAGUGCUGAGUGAACAAGCAAGGUACCUGCAAGGACCCACUUGUGUCCUUUGAUCUCUCAGAGCAGUGGGUAAGUUCUCUCUCAGAUUUUGGAGUGCCACAGAUUUGUGUUUUGAGCUUUCUGAUUUUCUUUGAGCAAAUUUCUGUUCUAAACUGGGUUUGGAAGUAACAACAGAAACUGGACUGAGUCCAGGGUCAGAUUUGAUCUAGUAAUUAACUGGCUUGGAUCUAGUUAGAGGCCUCUUACAUCUGACUGGGUCAGAAAGAAACUGGUAGUAAAUGGUAAUGUUGUUGGGGUUGUAAAGUUUGGCUUUCGAAAAUUUGCAGGGAUUUUUGUGUUCUACCCCUUUGUUUCAUAGAAAAAUCACUGGCUAAGGCAAUCAAGGGAACCUGAGAGUAAAGCCAAUAUUUUAGGUAAAAAUGGGAUCCUUAAUUUCUAAAAGACUGAUUUCCUUUCAACUUAAACAUUAGGCUCAGGAAGCAACAAAGUCUUACGGAAAUGGUGAAGUCUUACCAAAGAUAACUUACAGUGGAACACUCUGAAUGAACAACGAUGUAUUGAAGUGAAUUUAAAAACGAGGGCUCCCCAAAAUUACAUCUACUGACUUUUUAGCUUAGUUACUAUUCCGAUCCAAAGGAAAUAGACUGCAACACCAAUUGGCUGACUUUGGAUAAGUAUUGCCGUACAUUUCACCUGAGUAAAGGAUGGGAUUGGGUUAGAGGCCCUCUCCUCAGUAAAGUCCCUCUUGGUUAAAAUGGAUUAAAGGUGACAGGGCCCAACCAGGGGCAAAUUUGACCUUUUCCAGUUCAAUAUUGGGUGCUAACCAGAGUGGCUAAUGUCUAUGUUUUGUCACACAUAUUUUGCUCUGGCCAGAAUGGAAAAUGUUAAUUUGGUUACUACAUAAAGCUCCUUGGGCAGCAUCUUGCAAAAUGAGGAGGAUUUUGCCUGUGGUUCCAUGAUUUUCCAUUGUGAUGCAGCUUGGUCCCCAGAGGUAUGGUAUGGCAAACAGGAUUGCUAGGGCUGCUCAUGGAAGAGGAACCCAGAAACCUGACAUGCUGGCAAAAGGGUAAGAAUUUCCUACCAGUCAGGCUUCUGGUCUCUCUUUCUCUGUGCAAACCAGUUGAAUGAAUGACAAAAAUCACUGUUUAUCUCCUCUGUAAAGUUCUGAUUAAUGUGAAAAAGGAUUCUGAGGCUAGUCUUAAACUGUGGUGAAUCUGGUGUAUUUUUGCUAUGAAUUUGUCUUUCUGUGUCAUUCUGUCAUGAAUAGGGGUACCUUAGGAUACCUUAGGAUACAUGGGCUUAGGAUCCCAUAAGCUCACUAUUCAAGGUGGCCCAGCAAGCUGGUCAGUUACAAACUUUGCUGCAGGUCUCUGAAAAAAGCAAAAGAAAAACUGGAUGAGGUCUGCAUCUUGUUUUAUGUCCUUGGGAGCUUAACCUUGUAACCAUAUGUCAGUACUUUCUUUUGGUUUCUGCCAUUUUACAGUGGUGGCCCAGGUUCAAUCCUGGCUUAGGAAAUGAGUACUUUCUGGUUGGUAUCUGUGUGACAUUUACCAUUUGAUAGUUCUCUUCCCCUCCAUGAACAACUUCUGUCUUCCCUUCUUGAAUUUUUCUGUCUUCAAGCUACCUUCAAAGAUUCUAUAUAUUGUAAAAACUACCUGUGUUCUCAGCCCUAUUUCUUGAAGGAGGCACCCUAAAGCAAGUAAUCCAAUUAAGAAACUUCAAAACUGGCAAGUGAAAAAUCUUACAACUACCGGAUCUUCUUCUGUCUGCCUGUGUAGUUAUGUAUGUGUUGUGUGUGUGAUGUUUAUACAAAAGAACUCUAAUUAACUGGCUUAAAGAAAAAUAAGUGCUUAAAUGAGAUAUUUUGAAAGAAAAAUAAAAACUAAUUCUUUUUAGUUCACAUAACUUUAGUAAUCUUUGGGAAAUAAAAAGUUUUAAAGAUUAUUGGUAAAAUAAGGACAUUUAGUCUAAAUUAGGCAGGUCAGAUAUUAGGUAUUCCAAAGACUUUAAGGUCAUAAACUGCUGUGACUUUUGAAAAUUGUUCAGUUUACCUACCAUGAACACAUUAGAUUCUAGAUAAGGCCUUGGGACGUGUUGAAUUAGCCAUGCCCCCUAGCUAUGCCAAGAAGGUUAUAAAGAAAAGAGUUUAUAUAAGAGAGGAUCCCAUAUGGUAAAUUCAUGUCCUAAAUUAAAAUAACUGGUUGUUUAAAAAGAGGAAUGUUUAGGACAAGCCAGAAAAUCCAAGCAUGUCGUAGACGGUCUGUGUAAGUCGUGAAAUGAUUGAUGAAAGGAAAUUUAUGCACCAAAAGUAAAAGUUCCUAAGAGUUACCAUUAUAACAUGAAAUUAAGACUACUAAAAAAAUAGUUUUAUUAAUACAUGCAAGGUGUAUGAGGAGCGUGAAAUGUGUUUUUGGUUAAAGAUUAUAAGAAGGCAGCCAGGCACUAUGUCUCAAACCUUAAUCCCAGCACUUUGGGAAGCUGAGGUGGGAGGAUCACUUGAGGUCAGGAGUUCAAGACUAGCCUGGUCAACAAGGUGAAACCCCAUCUCUACAAGAAGUACAAAAAUUAGCCCAGUGUGAUGGCACACACCUGUAAUUCCAGAUACUUGGGAGGCUGAGGCAGGAGAAUCUCUUGAACUCCGGAGGUGGAGGUUGCAGUGAGCCAAGAUUGCACCACUGAACUCCAAGAUUGCACCAGUGACAUAGUGAGACUCUGUCUUAAAAAAAAAAAAAAAAAAGAUUAUAGGAAGUCAUGGGGAAGUAAAUCUUUGCCAGAGGGUUAGAAGAUUGUUUUAACUUAGAUAAAUCUAAAAAUUUGAACAAGUUGUGGAAGAGUUGUAAAAAUUAACCUUGUAAAAGAAAUUCUCUGUGUGGUAAUUCUGUCUGGGAUAAGUUUCACGUGGUCAUGAUGUGUAAUAUUUUUAAUAUGUUGCUGAGUUUGGGCUGCAAAUAUUUUGUUGACUUUUUGUCUAUACUCAGAGAAAUAUUGAUACGUGGUUUUCUUUUUUGUGAUAUUUUUGUCUGGAGUUAGCAUUGGGGCAACUCACAAUGAAUUGAAAAUUGUUGCAGCUUCUGAAAUCUGUAACACUUUAUGAAUGUUUUAUGUCACCUCUUUUUAAAGUACUUGAUAGAAUUUACCUGUAAAAUCACCUGAAUCUGAAUUUUUCUUUCUUGGAAUCAUUUUAAUUACCAGUUUAACUCCUUUACUUGGUAUACAUGUAUUCACCUUUUCUAUUUCUUUUCUUCUCAGUAUAUAUAAUUUGUUUUUUUAUUUUAAUCUUUGUCCAUUUAUUUAAGUUGUCUAAUUUUUCAGCAUAAACUUGCUUUUAUUCCCUUAUGUACAUUUUAAUUUCUGUAAAAUCUAUAAUAAUACACUACUUUUCAUUUUGGAUUUCAAAAAUUUGUGUCUCUUUUUUCUUGUUCAAUAUAUAUAAGUUUUUGUCAAUUUUGCUAAUUUUUCCAGUGAAACUGAUUGUGGUUUCAUUGAUUUCCUCUUUUCUCAGUUUUACUAAUUCUGUUCUAAUCUUUAUUUUUUUCUCUGCUUUGAGUUGAUUUUUUUCUCAUUUUACUAGUUAAGUCUUAAGGUAGAAAUAUAUUUAUUUGAGAUUUUAUUUAACAUUGGCAUUUAAAGCUAAUUUUUUUUUUUCUAAAUACAGCUUUGCCUACGUUGCUUAAUUUUUUUUAAUGGUGUGAUUCAAUUUUCAGUCAUUUUAAAGUAUUCUCUAAUUUCCUCUGUAAGUUAUCUUUUGGUCCAUGGGUUAUUUAGUAGUGUGUGGUUUAUUUUCUGAAGACUAAAAUUUCCAUAGUUUUGUUGAUUUCUAAUUUAUUAUCUUUGUUUUGAUAAUAUACUUUAUUUUAUUCUUUUUAAAGCUGAUUAUUGAUUAGUAUGUUAUGGCCUAGCAUACGGUUUAUCAUAGUAUAUUUUCCAUAUGCCCUUGGAAAGAAUGUGUAUUCUGUUGCUGUUAGAUGGACUGUUCCAUAGAUUUCAGUUAGGUACAGGUCUUUGGGGAACAGGCAAGGAUUGUCUGUAUUUUUAUUCUCAUUUUGAAGGGUAGUUUUAUUGGUCAUUGAAUUAAUCUUCAUUUAUUUAGAUAUAUAAGUAUGUCACUUCACUGCAUUCUAGCCUCCAUUAAUUCUGAGAUGUUAAUUUUAUUAUAAUUCCCUUUUAUGUGCUAAAUAGCUUUUAAUCUCAUUGGUGGCUUUAUUUUUUAUUUUUUGAUGUUGUUUAUUUGUUUGUUUGUUGGUUUUGAGACAGAGUCUCCCUCUGUUGCCCAGGCUGGAGUGCAGUAGCAAGAUCUCUGCUUACUGCAACCUCCGACUCCCAGGCUCAGGCGAUUCUCCUGCCUCAACCUCCUGAGUAGCUGGGACUAUAGGUGCAAGCCACCAUGCCCAACCAAUUUUUGUGUUUUUAGUAGAGGCAAGGUUUGGCAAUGUUGGCCAGGCUGGCCGCAAACGCCUGGCCUCAAGUAAUCUGCCCACCUCGACCUCCCAAAGUUCUGGGAUUACAGGUAUGAGCCACUGGGCCUGGCUUGUUUUUUCUUGUUUGUUUGUUUGUUGUGUUUUUGUUCUUGAGACAGCAUCUUGCUCUGUCACCCAGGCUAGAGUGCAGUGACACAAUCUUGGCUCACUGCAAACCUCUUUGGCGCACUGCAACCCUGCUGGGUUCAGGUGAUUCUCAUGGCUCAGCUUCCCAAGUAGCUGGGAUUACAGGUGCGCGACACCACGCCUGGCUAAUUUUUGGCAUUUUUAGUAGGACAGGGUUUCAGCAUGUUGGCCAGGCUGGUCUCCCACUCCUGGCCUCUAGUGAUCUGACCUCCUUGGCCUCCCAAAGUGCUGGGAUUAGAGGUGUGAGCCACUGUGCCUGGCCUCUGCUUAGUUUUGGCUGUCAAAGUUUGACUAUGAUACAUCUACAUGCAAAUCUUUUUGUAUUUAUCCAAUGUGGAAUUUAAUGAGCUUAAUGGAUAUAUACAUAAAUGUUUUUCAUCAAAUUUGACAUGUGUUUAGUCAUUCCUUACUAACAAAUGUUUUCACUCCUUUUAUUCUGUCUCCUCUAUUCUAUGAUAGCACAUAGUUGAACUAAGCAACUACUCUGCCAGAGACAAUCAAGAAUGAACUUACAUACUUACUGUCAUGUGGAUUAAGCCAAACUUUAAUAUGCUUGGUGCUCGUUGAUACUUAUUAAAGAAGAGUGCUGAAACCUACUGUUAGAAAACUAAUAAUUUACUCAGAAAAACAAGUGAAAACUACAGAAAUUGCAAAGAAAAUCCAAGGGACGUAACACAUUGACUAAGAGUGAAUGAGAGAAAUAGAAGAAAUCUUCAGUGAGGCAGAAUUUCAAUAGGAAAACCAAUGAAAUAUUUACAUUAAAAAGAUACACUAUAUCUAUGACAUUUUGUGAAAUUCAGACUUAUUAAGUACACAUAAACGUAUAUUUGCUUAGGUUCAUAAUGAGCUUCUCUGAUACACAGUAUUUUAUUAAAAACGUUAAUUCUGACGAUAGAUGUUUACUCCAAACACUAGUUGAAGAGUUUCCAAAUUACCCUUUCCUGUUGUAGAUUAGAAUGUAUCAUAAUCUGAACAUUGCCUCAUAUAUAUAAAUAAGCAGAUAUACUCUAAAUCAGCAGUCCCCAACCUUUUUGGCACCAGGGACCGGUUUUAUGGAAGACAAGUUUUCCAUCGGCUGGGUUUGGGGGGGUGCUUUCAGGAUGAUUCAAGCAUAUUACAUUUACUGUGCACAUUAUUUUUAUUAUCAUUACAUUAGAAUAUAUAAUAAAAUAAUUAUACAACUCACUGUAAUGUAGAAUCAGUGGGAGCCGUGAGCUUGUUUUCCUGCAACUAGAUGGUCCCAUGUGGGGGUGAUGGGAGACAAUGACACAUCAUCCGGCAUUAGAUGCUCAUAAGUAGCAUGCAACCUCGAUUCCUCACAUGUGCAGUUCACAAUAAGAUUCAUGCUUCUGUGAAAAUCUAAUGCCAUCACUGAUCUGACA